rnacentral:rRNA from 1 species
AAUGGGUCAGCGACUUAUAUUCUGUAGCAAGGUUAACCGAAUAGGGGAGCCGAAGGGAAACCGAGUCUUAACUGGGCGUUAAGUUGCAGGGUAUAGACCCGAAACCCGGUGAUCUAGCCAUGGGCAGGUUGAAGGUUGGGUAACACUAACUGGAGGACCGAACCGACUAAUGUUGAAAAAUUAGCGGAUGACUUGUGGCUGGGGGUGAAAGGCCAAUCAAACCGGGAGAUAGCUGGUUCUCCCCGAAAGCUAUUUAGGUAGCGCCUCGUGAAUUCAUCUCCGGGGGUAGAGCACUGUUUCGGCAAGGGGGUCAUCCCGACUUACCAACCCGAUGCAAACUGCGAAUACCGGAGAAUGUUAUCACGGGAGACACACGGCGGGUGCUAACGUCCGUCGUGAAGAGGGAAACAACCCAGACCGCCAGCUAAGGUCCCAAAGUCAUGGUUAAGUGGGAAACGAUGUGGGAAGGCCCAGACAGCCAGGAUGUUGGCUUAGAAGCAGCCAUCAUUUAAAGAAAGCGUAAUAGCUCACUGGUCGAGUCGGCCUGCGCGGAAGAUGUAACGGGGCUAAACCAUGCACCGAAGCUGCGGCAGCGACACUAUGUGUUGUUGGGUAGGGGAGCGUUCUGUAAGCCUGUGAAGGUGUACUGUGAGGUAUGCUGGAGGUAUCAGAAGUGCGAAUGCUGACAUAAGUAACGAUAAAGCGGGUGAAAAGCCCGCUCGCCGGAAGACCAAGGGUU